rnacentral:sRNA from 1 species
AGUCGAUAGCUGAGUGUUGUACCUUGAUCACUAAACGGCAACCCCAGCUGAGAUAAACAUUGCUAUAUGCGCCAUCAGAUGUUUUUUGAACUUAUUUGGUGCAUUGCUAUAAAUUUUGGUUGGAUAUUUUAUCCACUAGGGAUAUUGACUCGAUGAGGAUAUCUGUUGGAAACCUGUAUCAUUCGAUCCAACUGGUUAAGGAGAAACCGCCAUUUUUAUUUAUAAGAUGGAUCCCCGCCACAAUGCCCAGGACGUGGUCCGGUGUGGCCUUUGUAAGGAAAACAUUGUACAGAGCUACUGUGACUUUUGUCAUGUCAGCCUCUGCAAGCCCUGUAUAGGAGAACAUAUCUCGGAUGAGUAUGACAAACAUAAAAUAGUUCCCUUUAAGGAAAGAAAAUCAACCUUAAUGUUUCCAACAUGUAAAUCGCAUUCCAAAGAAACAUGUAAAUUGCAAUGUAAGUCAUGUACUGUCUUAAUUUGUGCUUUGUGUGCUGCAUCCGAAACACAUAAAGGUCAUGAUUUCAUAGUCCUUGAAGACAUCUACAAGACAAAUAAAACGGGUAUAGAAAAAGAUGCUGAAGAAAUAGAAAAAGUUAUUGCCCCUACGUAUGAAGAAAUGAGGAACGAGUUAAUUAAACAGAUUGAAAGUCUCAAUGGAGACUAUGAGAAAAUUACAAUAGUUAUAUCAGAACAAGGUGUAAAAUGGCACACAGAAGUGGAAAGAGUCAUCAACAAACUAAAGAAUGAAAUAACAGAGAUAAAAGAGAAACACCGUGAUAUAUUAGAGAAACAUUUGAAUGAAAUCAAACAGAUCGAAUUCUUGAUUAAAGAAAACGUAUCUACCUUAAAGGAUCUUGAGGAAUCUAAAGAUGUGACUGUGAUUGUAAAUUACAGAACAAAAAUUAAAGGAUUUAGAAAAAUGCCUUUCAAAGUUCAUGUCACACUGCCAACAUUUUGUCCCAAGCCUAUCAAUAGAGAUCAGGUUUGCGAAAUGUUUGGAACCCUAAAACCUUUAGUCUCAACAAUAAAUGAAGAUGGCUACACGAAUGAGUUACCAGAGGAUUCAUCAGGAGAACUGAUAGAUAUACCUGAUUUCAUUAAUACGUUUAACACAGGGCAUAACAAUCUUCGAUGUGUUUCCUUUCACACUGAAGAAGAAAUAUGGACAAGUGCGGGCAGUGGUAUUAUCAUAAAAUGCUUUACUACUAGUGGCAAAUGUAUGAAUACCAUCAAAACAAAACAAGGCGUCUAUCCAGAUGAUAUAGCAGUCACAAGUGCUGGAGAUUUAGUGUAUUGUGACCGUAUAUCAAAGACUUUGAAUCAAGUCAAAGAUGGAAAAAUAGAAGAGAUAAUUGUAUUUCAGAGAUGGAAACCUAUAAAUUUGUGUGUUAGCUCUACUGGUGAUCUUCUAGUUGUUUUAUCUUAUGAUGACAGAACUCAAUCUAAAGUUGCCCGAUACUCAGGAAGUAUAGAGAAACAGGCAAUUCAGUUUGAUGGUGAAGGUAAGCAUCUGUACUCCAGUAGUUUUAGCAUGAAAUACAUCGCUGAAAACGAAAACCUUGAUAUUUGUGUAGCUGACUGGGGGGCUGGUGCAGUAGUGUGGUGGUUAAUCAGGAUGGGAAACUUAUAUGGAGAUACACCGGUCAUCACUCAGGAGCCAAGAAAAAUCCUUUUAAACCCAGUGGCAUCAAAACAGACGGCCAGAGUCAGAUCCUGACGGCCGACUGUAAAACCCAUUGUAUCCACAUCCUGGACCAGGAUGGGCAGUUCUUUCGUUACAUCGAAAACGUAAAAAAAAAAUCCUCACGGUCUCUGUGUUGAUAAUCAAGACAACUUGUAUGUUGCCGAGUACUGGACUGGGGAUGUAAAGGUCAUCAAAUAUCUGAAAUGAAUACUGACAUUUUGUAAAUAAUGUACGCUGUACAUUACUCAGUGUUUAUGGGAUAAAAUUGUAGUCACUAAUUUGACAUUAACUGAAAAGUCGAAACUCUUUUCUUGCUAUUCUGAUAGUGAUGCAUACAUACACAAUGCUGGUAAGGUGAAGAUCAUCAUUUAUCUAAAAUAUAUGGCAGUGUGUAAAUACGAUAUACUCUGAUCCACAGUGUUUCUGUUUCUGUUUAUUUUUAUUUUAUUUUAUUUUUUUCUUUAUAUUGAGUACAGUAUAUGGGCCUAUAAAAUAUAUUUAUUCAUGUUAACUGACAUAUUACAGUAUUGUUAUA